UACAGAGGUCCCGAGCGUUGUUCGGAUUCACUGGGCGUAAAGGGCGUGCAGGCGGUUUGUUAAGUGCAGGGUGAAAGCUCCCGGCUCAACUGGGAGAGGUCCUUGCAUACUGGCGAACUCGAGGGAGGCAGAGGAAAGUGGAAUUCCCGGUGUAGUGGUGAUAUGCGUAGAUAUCGGGAGGAACACCUGUGGCGAAGGCGGCUUUCUGGGCCUUACCUGACGCUGAGACGCGAAAGCGUGGGGAGCGAACCGG
rnacentral:rRNA from 1 species